GCCGUCGUCGACCAGUGGCAGGUCCCCUCCGCCGCUUGUCAGUCAACCUCCAGCGUAAACGGGAGGAACCGGGGGUUCGAUUCCCCCCGACGGCA